rnacentral:rRNA from 1 species
UACACGCUGCAUCUCAGCCAUGCCGCGUGAGUGAUGAAGGCCUUAGGGUCGUAAAGCUCUUUCGCCUGUGAUGAUAAUGACAGUAGCAGGUAAAGAAACCCCGGCUAACUCCGUGCCAGCAGCCGCGGUAAUACGGAGGGGGUUAGCGUUGUUCGGAAUUACUGGGCGUAAAGCGCGCGUAGGCGGAUUAGAAAGUUGGGGGUGAAAUCCCGGGGCUCAACCUCGGAACUGCCUCCAAAACUGCUAGUCUAGAGUUCGAGAGAGGUGAGUGGAAUUCCGAGUGUAGAGGUGAAAUUCGUAGAUAUUCGGAGGAACACCAGUGGCGAAGGCGGCUCACUGGCUCGAUACUGACGCUGAGGUGCGAAAGUGUGGGGAGCAAACAGGAUUAGAUACCCUGGUAGUCCACACCGUAAACGAUGAAUGCCAGUCGUCGGAUAGUAUACUAUUCGGUGACACACCUAACGGAUUAAGCAUUCCGCCUGGGGAGUACGGUCGCAAGAUUAAAACUCAAAGGAAUUGACGGAUCCU